rnacentral:rRNA from 1 species
GCGUCAAAGCGUCAACCACCACAAAUCCAAAACACAAACAUAAAUCCCUGACAACUCACAGAGCAACUCUAUUUAAUAAUAGAAGAACUAAUGCUAAAACUAGUAAUAAGAAUUAAUUCUCCUUACACCCCCAUCCAUCAGAAAUAGAUAAACUACUGAAGAUUAACCAAGCUACAAAAAGUAAUCAACCAACCAACAAGCAAAAAUUAACACACUUUGUGACACCAACACAGGGGUGUACCAAGGACAGAUUAAAAGCCAAACAAGGAACUCGGCUAAUAGACUCCAACUGUUUACCAAAAACAUAGCCUUUAGCACCACAAGUAUUAAAGGUCUCGCCUGCCCAGUGACAACUUCAACGGCCGCGGUAUCCUAACCGUGCAAAGGUAGCGUAAUCAUUUGUCUCCUAAAUAGAGACUUGUAUGAACGGCUAACUGAGAGCCUAACUGUCUCCUAAGGCCAAUCAAUGAAACUGAUCUUCCAGUACAAAAGCUGGAAUAAAAACAUAAGACGAGAAGACCCUGUGGAGCUUAAAAUACACACUAUUUUUUCCCACUAUAAGCUACGGAAACAACAUCAUUAAUAUAGCCAUAUUUUUAGUUGGGGCGACUUUGGAAUAAAAGAAAACUUCCAUGAUAGGGACUACCCCCUAUUAAGGCCAACAAGCCAAAAUAACUUUUUUUGACCCAGACAUCUGAUCAAC